rnacentral:rRNA from 1 species
UACGUAGGGUGCGAGCGUUGUCCGGAAUUAUUGGGCGUAAAGAGCUCGUAGGCGGUCUGUUAAGUGGGAUGUGAAAUCCCCGGGCUUAACCUGGGAAUUGCAUUUCAAACUGGCCGACUAGAGUACGGUAGAGGGAGGUAGAAUUUCCUGUGUAGCGGUGAAAUGCGUAGAUAUAGGAAGGAAUACCAGUGGCGAAGGCGGCCUCCUGGAUCGAUACUGACGCUGAGGCGCGAAAGCGUGGGGAGCAAACAGG